rnacentral:rRNA from 1 species
GACAGAGGGUGCAAACGUUGUUCGGAAUUGCUGGGCGUAAAGCGCGUGUAGGCUGCUCAGAAAGUCGGAUGUGAAAGCCCUGGGCUUAACCUAGGAAGUGCAUUCGAAACUUCUGAGCUUGAGUUCUGGAGAGGAAGGCGGAAUUCUCGGUGUAGAGGUGAAAUUCGUAGAUAUCGAGAGGAACACCGGUGGCGAAGGCGGCCUUCUGGACAGUGACUGACGCUGAGACGCGAAAGCGUGGGGAGCAAACAGG